AUUCCAAGCUUAAGGAGGUGAUCCAGCCGCACUGGAACUGAGACACGGUCCAGACUCCUACGGGAGGCAGCAGUGGGGAAUAUUGCACAAUGGGCGCAAGCCUGAUGCAGCCAUGCCGCGUGUAUGAAGAAGGCCUUCGGGUUGUAAAGUACUUUCAGCGGGGAGGAAGGGAGUAAAGUUAAUACCUUUGCUCAUUGACGUUACCCGCAGAAGAAGCACCGGCUAACUCCGUGCCAGCAGCCGCGGUAAUACGGAGGGUGCAAGCGUUAAUCGGAAUUACUGGGCGUAAAGCGCACGCAGGCGGUUUGUUAAGUCAGAUGUGAAAUCCCCGGGCUCAACCUGGGAACUGCAUCUGAUACUGGCAAGCUUGAGUCUCGUAGAGGGGGGUAGAAUUCCAGGUGUAGCGGUGAAAUGCGUAGAGAUCUGGAGGAAUACCGGUGGCGAAGGCGGCCCCCUGGACGAAGACUGACGCUCAGGUGCGAAAGCGUGGGGAGCAAACAGGAUUAGAUACCCUGGUAGUCCACGCCGUAAACGAUGUCGACUUGGAGGUUGUGCCCUUGAGGCGUGGCUUCCGGAGCUAACGCGUUAAGUCGACCGCCUGGGGAGUACGGCCGCAAGGUUAAAACUCAAAUGAAUUGACGGGGGCCCGCACAAGCGGUGGAGCAUGUGGUUUAAUUCAAUGCAACGCGAAGAACCUUACCUGGUCUUGACAUCCACGGAAGUUUUCAGAGAUGAGAAUGUGCCUUCGGGAACCGUGAGACAGGUGCUGCGUGGCUGUCGUCAGCUCGUGUUGUGAAAUGUUGGGUUAAGUCCCGCAACGAGCGCAACCCUUAUCCUUUGUUGCCAGCGGUCCGGCCGGGAACUCAAAGGAGACUGCCAGUGAUAAACUGGAGGAAGGUGGGGAUGACGUCAA
rnacentral:rRNA from 1 species